UAGUUGGUCUGUCCUCUGCACGUUCUUGAACACACAAGAGGCCAAUUUGUAUGCAUCUUAAGA
rnacentral:sRNA from 1 species